rnacentral:lncRNA from 10 species
CACCCUCCCCCAGUUCUGGCCAGGAGGCUUCUUGCCCCAUUCAAAUUGUUACAAAGUUCAGUCAGAGAAUUCCUUCUUUCUGUGGAGUUUUACUCCCUGCUCCUCUGGCUAUCCUCCCGAUGGAUCCCUGUGGUGCCAGGCAGGAAUGGGCUGCUCAGGGACCCAGCAAGUUCCCAGGGCUUUUCUGCUGCUUCCUGUACCCCUGUAUUUUGCUCAGCUCUCUAACUUGACUCAGCUCCAGUUUCUCUAGGUUCAAAAGAAAGAGGAGUGAAGAGGAGUAAAACACACAUCUAUUAAAAAGCAAGAAGAUUAAAUAAAUUGAAGCUUUUUAUUUCUCUUUCUCUGCCUAAGGACCCAGUGGCUGUCUUGAUGUCUCACAGCAGGAAGAGACUCUCUCAAAUAGGUGUACACAUGGGGAGAGAGAGAGCAAGGAGACUGAGAUACAAUCAGCCACCAGCAAGUUGUCUUGAUUUUCUGAAUGGAGCGUGGUAGCAUGUUAUAGAGUCCAAGGAAUUUGCCAAAUCCGUGUGAGAAGAUUUGCCUCUCACAUGUGAGAGAAUUUUUUGAGAAAAAAAAGAUCCUGACCCCGUCCCUCUGCCACCACCCGAGUGAGGAAGACUGACAGAGCACAUUGGCUUGCUGUGGAGACAAGAUCAGGGAAAGCGCCCCUGAAAAGAAAGCAUUUUGGAAGUCCUGAAGGUGGAGAAGGAGAUUUAGAGGAAGAGUGAUAAAUCAGAAGUCUUCGUCCAAGAAUUAGCUUUGCACCAUCUACAGACCUAAGCAGCUGCAGUCCUGGAACUGUGUGAUAACUUGCCCAGAAAAUCUUCUUGUGGAAUCUGUCUUUACAUGGAAAAGACUUGGCAAUAUUUGUACAGCAACUGGAAGAAAGGUCUUUGCUGAGAUAUACAAAGAGGCAGAAUGUGUGUGGAUCACCGAUUAGACAAGGCGAAUAGGAGCAGAAUAGAAGAGGAAUGGAAUAGAACUCAAGAUGAUAAAACAUACUGUGUCCAGAAUUUAUUCCUUCCAGUGGGCUGUUGGUCUCACUGACUUUAAGAAUGAAGCUGCGGACCCUCGUG